UGUUCUUCUCUUGGUCCCAGCGCAGUUGGCCCAUCACAUAGAUGGAACAACACAAGCAUCGAUCCCCUCUCUCUCUCAUGCGAGAGAGAGAGGAGAGAGGAGAGAGGAGAGAGAAGGGUUGUGGGCCCCUCAGUCAACGUUCUGAGGGGAGGUCAGACCAUGGGGAAGUCAGAGCCAGAGUCAGAGAAUCCCGACGUUGACCCGUCCGGCUGAGCAAAUGCUUUCGCUGCGGC
rnacentral:lncRNA from 1 species